CAGUAUUUAGUUUAAAUUAAAAUUUUAAUUUUGGAUGUUAAGGAUGUAUUAUGUUAUUAUACUGA
rnacentral:tRNA from 1 species